AAAAAAGACCAGCGAUAACAUCAAUUUGUUCAAUAUUGAUUAAAACCAAUUAAGUACUAGUAAAGGCCCACAAGGCCAUCAGAUCAGGGGUGAAUGAACAGAUUUGAAGCCAGUUUUUAAAUCAAUGUUGAGAUUAUAAGGCAGGUUUCUUUGUUUAAGAGGCUAGCCUUUUAGAGAAUAUAAUUUAUUCAUGGAAAAAAAAUAAGAAGGAUGAAUGGAAUUUUUUCUAAUAAUAUCAUGUUUACUAAGAAUAGGUCAUGAGGAGGAAAAGUUAAAGAAAAACUCAUUAGUACAAUUAAUAUUUGCCUCUUGAAGUUAAAAUUAAAGAAUUCCAAAUUUUAUCCUUGAAGACUUUGAGAAAUGAGAGAUGCAUUAGUAAAGUAGUUUAUACUUAAAAUCCUAGUUGUAACAAAGAAUGGCAUGCCUCAUUAUUAAUGUUCAGUUCUAAUUAGAUGGAUUGUUUUGGCAAUUUGUGAAAUAUUCCAAACAGAACUGAUGUUUCAAAUGACUAAAAUUUAGACUUGAUUAGAGGAACGAAGUAAAAGAUAUGUAACCAUCAAAAGUAGUUAAUUAAAAAUUGGGCUGUGGGCAUCAGUCUUAUGUGGAAGAUUGUAAUUCAACAGGCUAUGAUUUCCAAAAUAUAGCAAACUUCUUCAUGUCCCCAUAUACCAAAUUGGUUCAUCUCUUAGGCAAAAACAGAAAAUAAAAAAAUCAAAUUUACCAAACCACUCAAACCUUUUUAAAAUCACAUUCUAAAAAUAGGAGAAACCCCAUAAUUUAUAUAUCAUAAUUUUUAUUACUUUUGUUUAUUCCCCAAUUUUUCAAAUACUUUAAUUUCAGCCAGUAUGUGAACAUGGAGGACUUCAAAAGCAUAAUGAAUUACUUCCUUCAAGUUUAUUGUAAAUGUUCUCAAAACUCCGCCAAGAAUAUAAAGAUUUGAAAGAUAACCAAGAUUUAUUUUUUCUUAUUUUAAUUUUUAAUCACAAGACUUGAUUGUCAAUGAUACUUAUUAACUAUCAUGUAAUCUCCAAUGGUAAAACAAGUGAUUUCUUCUGAUUUUUUACAAGCAUGUGAGCAAAAGACUUGGUUUUCAGCAAUAAAUCAUUGGUUCUAACUAAGCACUUGUUUGGAGAAAGUGUCAUUUCUCCAAACAUGUGUCUUGAAAACAAAUCCAGUUCCUUUUUUGCCUCAGAGGAAGCCAUGUUGGGGAGUCUUCAGAGAUCUGGCAACCCAGUUUUAUUCUUACCAACUUCUGUUUUGAAAGGGAAUGCCUUCUGUCUUUGUCCCCAAAAUCUUUGGUUGUCCUACACUGAUUCCUGAUGGAGCCCUGAGGCUUAUAAACAAGUAAGAUGCUUUUCAUGAUGAAACUGCAUGUUGUUCUGAUACUGUCUAUUAAUAGUCCUGAAUGAGCUUAAAUUUGAGGCACCUUUUUUUUUUUUAAAUUAUUUUUUGCUGUGCUUGGGUGGCACCCAGGGCCUAAUGCAUACUCUGCAUGCACUAGACUACUGAAUAAUACCCCUCAGCCUUGAGGCAACUUUGGAAAAUAUCAGGUACUUUUCAUUUUGCUUCCUUAUCUAUAGGGCUUGAAAUGUUUAUUUCUGCAUAUUGAUGUUUUAACUAAGUUUUAAUUUCUCAUUAUCUGAAAGAUUUUGCAUGUACUUUAGUCUGAAUACAGUAUUUAUCAAUGCGAAUGCUGCUCCAUUCAAAAUUCAUUUUUAAAGCCAGAAUUCACUCUUAUUUGUCUGACUGGUCAGGGUGGGGGAGAGUCUUUUGUACUUUAAGCUCCGGACUGCUUUCUUAGAGAGUUGACUUAUACAAGGUUAGGGAGAUGUAUGUUUUUGUAUGACUUAAGUUCUUUAUAAAGUUUGCUGAUAUAAGCAUUUUGGAUUUAAGAAAGUUCAACUUGAAAUAUAUUUGAAUAUAGGAUAGAAAUAGCUUUACUUAAUGGGAUAAUAGCUAUUUUGAACCCAUUAAGAUCUCAAUAGCUUUCAAAAAGCACAUGACUGGAAAAAUAUUUUUCACUGGCAUUGCUUUAUUGUUUUAAAAAUAGUAGGGACUGAAAUGUUAUUUAAAACUUGGAUGCUUAUACUGCACUAUUUCAUUUUGUGUUUCAUAUUGUGUUUCACCAGGUUAAAAUUCUAUAUUUUGUAAAAUGUCUGGAAAGGAGUCCAAAAAGUAAUCUUGCUUUCUUGUUCCUGAAUGCAAAGGUCUGAGAGGAGGCACAUGAUCUCAUUAGCCUCCGAGUGUUGUCAAACAAUUCUCCCUCAUGUACCAAAUGCCCAGAUGCAUUUAUUGGGAUGCAGGAGUCUCACUCAAGCAGUUUUUUCCCAAACAUGAAGAGAAGCAUCUUGGUUAAAGUGUGGGGAGAUAGAAACCAUAUUGAUUUGGGCAUUUUGGCUCCAGUAAUAUCUCAUCUACUGUGAAAGGUGGAUGUUCUAAGCUAAUUUCCUUUAAAAAGCAGUUCAUAAAUUUCUCCUUAAAAUAUUUAUAAAAAAGCUGUUUUAUCACACAGCACAGAUUAAAUGUACAGAUGUUAUCUUAAAAUUAUUAAGGUGUUUCCCUGUGAAUUUGAAUAUUCACUACCAGCUGUUACAUCAGUAUUAAUAUUUUACCAUCAAGAGAUUUCAUACAAAGGACUGAUAUUUAACUCUUUAAAGGGAAAUAACAUUCCCUGAGUGCCUACUAUGUGUUCAAGUUCUAUUUAUAUAUUUUGCUUAAUCUUUAUGAUGCUUCCAUGAGGUAGACUAUAAUUUUCAUUUUACAAAUGAGGAAACUAAGCCAGGCAUGGUGAUGCAUGCCUGUAACCCCAGAGACUUAGGAGGCUGAGGCAGGUGUAUCACAAGUUGAAACCAGCCUCAAAAUAAGAUGGUACUGGGGAUAUAGCUCAGUGGUAAACUGUCCCUGGAUCCAAUUCCCAGUUACAAUAAACACACACCAGACAAAAAGAAGAAGAAACAACUAAGGCUCAGAGAAGUUAGCUAAUAAAUAACAGGUUUGGAAUCUGAACUUAGGUCCACCUGAUUGCAAAGCCUGUUUUGCAGAAAUCUCUUCUUUUUUAUAUUAUAAAGUGUUAAUCUCGACCCACAGUUAAACCUCCAUCUUUAUGGAUUACUGGAGAGAUGUGUGAAUUGGCAAGCCUCUGUUCCAAAGUGGGAAAAAUAUGGAUAGGAUUUGAACGAGAUGCGUCGGAUGCACGCAGGUCGUGGAAUGCACACAGUCUUGUGCUGCCAAGGCAAUGUUUUCCUGUUCCCUCUUCAACAACAGGGCAUGCUAGAAGAAUCUUUAGAAGUUGAAUAGUCCUCAGGUCUGAACUUUUCCUAUUAUUCACCUUUGAGCCAGGUGAUUUGUGACUUUUUAAAGGUUAAAAGCCUUUGCUUGAUCUAUAAAACACAAAGGGGAGGGCUAGUUAAGAAGUGGAGUAACGAGUCUGUACAAUACAGUGUAAUACGCAAGGACAGGACUUGACGUUGCUUUGAAGAUAGUUGUGGGGAGGUUAGUGAAUAGUAAAAUUAAUGAGAGGAGCAGUUCUGGUUCAGUUAUAGUUCAAGGUAAAAAAGUUGAGAGGUCUAUAUUUUGUUCCAAAGUACAAUGAUUUAAUUUUGAGGAGGAGCAGCCAGUGAUUGGACUCUUUAAAGGAGAUGGCCUGGGGCCUGCUUAAUCAGGUUGCAGUUUCCAUUACAUUCAAGAAAAUCAGAAAAAUAAAUACAACUUGUAGAAGAAAAAUUUGUUUUCUCCCAUUCACUUUUAACCCUUGGUGGGGGAGAGGCGGUUCUCACAUUUUUGGAAUUGUUUAGAACUGUGGUGUACAACAUGGUAGCCACCAGCUAUAUAUGGCUACUGAGCACUUGGAAUGUGACUAGUCUGAAUUGAGAUGUUGUGUAACUGUAAAAUACAAACUGAAUUUCAAAGAAUAAAAAAAAUGUAAACUAUUUGCUGAUUACAUGUUGAAAUGGCAAUAUUUUUAAAUAUAUUGGGCUUAAUAAAAUAUAUUUGCUAAGAUCAUUUUAC
rnacentral:lncRNA from 1 species